rnacentral:rRNA from 1 species
UGGGGAAUAUUGCACAAUGGGCGCAAGCCUGAUGCAGCAACGCCGCGUGAGGGACGACGGCCUUCGGGUUGUAAACCUCUUUUAGUAGGGAAGAAGCGAAAGUGACGGUACCUGCAGAAAAAGCACCGGCUAACUACGUGCCAGCAGCCGCGGUAAUACGUAGGGUGCGAGCGUUGUCCGGAAUUAUUGGGCGUAAAGAGCUCGUAGGCGGUCUGUCGCGUCUGCUGUGAAAACCCGAGGCUCAACCUCGGGCCUGCAGUGGGUACGGGCAGACUAGAGUGCGGUGGAGGAAUGGAAUGAUCCUGGUGUAGCGGUGGAAUGCGCAGAUAUCAGGAGGAACACCGAUGGCGAAGGCAGUUCUCUGGGCCGUAACUGACGCUGAGGAGCGAAAGCGUGGGGAGCGAACAGGAUUAGAUACCCUGGUAGUCCACGCCGUAAAACGUUGGGCGCUAGAUGUGGGACCAGUUCCACGGUUUCCGUGUCUGCAGCUGAACGCAUUAAAGCGCCCCGCCCUGGGGAGUACGGCCCGCAAGGCUAAAAACUCAAAUGAAUUGACGGGGUCAUAGCUGUUUCCUG